rnacentral:rRNA from 1 species
UACGUAGGAGGCAAGCGUUGUCCGGAAUUACUGGGCGUAAAGCGCGUGUAGGUGGUGGGACAAGUCUGCUGUGAAAGCGCCUGGCUUAACCGGGCGAGGUCGGCGGAAACUGUCCGACUCGAGAACGGUAGAGGGGGGUGGAAUUCCCGGUGUAGUGGUGAAAUGCGUAGAGAUCGGGAGGAACACCGGUGGCGAAGGCGGGUCUCUGGGCCGAUACUGACGCUGAGGAGCGAAAGCGUGGGGAGCGAACAGG